GACGAACGCUGGCGGCGUGCUUAACACAUGCAAGUCGAACGGAAAGGCCCUGCUUUUGUGGGGUGCUCGAGUGGCGAACGGGUGAGUAACACGUGAGUAACCUGCCCUUGACUUUGGGAUAACUUCAGGAAACUGGGGCUAAUACCGGAUAGGAGCUCCUGCUGCAUGGUGGGGGUUGGAAAGUUUCGGCGGUUGGGGAUGGACUCGCGGCUUAUCAGCUUGUUGGUGGGGUAGUGGCUUACCAAGGCUUUGACGGGUAGCCGGCCUGAGAGGGUGACCGGCCACAUUGGGACUGAGACACGGCCCAGACUCCUACGGGAGGCAGCAGUGGGGAAUAUUGCACAAUGGGCGGAAGCCUGAUGCAGCAACGCCGCGUGCGGGAUGACGGCCUUCGGGUUGUAAACCGAUUUCGCCUGUGACGAAGCGUGAGUGACGGUAAUGGGUAAAGAAGCACCGGCUAACUACGUG
rnacentral:rRNA from 1 species